rnacentral:lncRNA from 1 species
AGAGAAUAGAGGCUUGACUUAGAGCUUGGUGGCUUUUCUACCUCCCCCACGUUUCGAGCAGGGGCUCUGUGUUUCAAGCCAUCUCUGUGGAAUUACAGAUGGGAGUGGCAUGGCAAGUUUUCCUCAUUCAAAGGGAAGCCACACGAGGUUUCUGGAUUGGUGUCUGCAGUCCUGGAGCAGUGCCAGCGCACCUGUACUGUGAGGUCCCCUGCCACCCUCCCCUCACUCCUGGGACUACCAGACUCACCCAGCAACAGUGCAAAGGCAACCAAGGGAUCCAAGGACAGCCAGAGGCUGUGAGGAGCCGCAUUCACAUUCGCCACAGCGGAUGGCGCUGACAUCCGCUGCCGGAUCAAGUAAACAACGUUGGUAUCCAUGUGCUCAGUGUUUUUCCACUGCCUAGCCCCGCCUAUUCCAUGGCGUCAUAUAGGGUGACGAGUCAUCCACCUAUCCCAGCUGUACACGCAUCGCUCAGAGUUUGUGAGCCUUUAUUAGGGGACGGGAUUCUUGGCUCGGGUCUCCGCUCUGGUAAGCUUAUGCUCUCCUCUCAAGACGCAUUAAAGCUUUACUGCAGAAGGAUCCGAAUGUCCUGUUUGUCUUGCCGGCAAGACUAUCGCGCAGGAAAAGAGGCGACAACUGGAGGCUUGGCCCCUGGAAGAGUGCCACAGAGCUAACAAGGGUUGAGAAUCAUGGGUCUAUGGAUAAGAAUUCCCAGAAAGAAGCUGUGUCUGCAGAAACCGAUUGACUGACUAGAAUUGUACCACUAUGGAGAGAUUGGAAUGUUCCAGGUCCAGAGACUAAUUACCUUAUUUGGCACUAGUUCUAGCUUUCUUAUGUGGCCAUUUCUUGUUCACCUCUGUGUCAGAACUAACAUCUUGUGAGUAAUAUAUGAAAAGCUUUUGGAAUCCAUUGACUUAGUGAGCCAAUAGUUUCCAACAACCCCACAACUAAGGAAGUCAUCAGAUAGCAUUGUGGGCCUUUAGAAAAAGCUUCCUCUAUCCUGCUGUCCCACCUCUCUGAUGUACCACCCAUCAAUGUAUUUUAAAUUUGCCUUGAUUUAUGACUUUUUUUUGUUCUGUAAAACUCCAUGAAACUGCUUCCACACUAGGACAUGGAAUUUGGGUAACCUAAAUCUGUGUUCUUGGGCCAUGGGCACUCAGAAUGACUCCAG